CUACCCUUGACAUGGACGGAAUCCCUGCUUAGAGUUGAGGGUGCUCGAAAGAAAAUCGUUGCCCAGGGGUUGCAUGGCUGUCGUCAGCUCGUCUCCUGAGAUGUUGGGCUAAAUGUUUCAUCGAGGGCAACACUUGUCUUUUAGUUCCUUACGAAAGGGCACUCUAGAGAGACUUCCGGUGACAAACCGGAGGAAGGUGGGGAAAACGUCAAGUCCUCAUGGCCCUUAUGGGUAGGGCUUCACACGUCAUACAAUGGUCGGAACAGAGGGUUUUCCAACCCGCGAGGGGGAGCUAAUCCCAGAAAACCGAUCGUAGUCCGGAUUGCACUCUGCAACUCGAGUGCAUGAAGCUGGAAUCCCUAGUAAUCGCGGAUCAGCAUGUCGCGGUGAAUACGUUUCCGGGUCUUGUACACACCGGCCCGUCACACCAUGGGAGAGGGUGUUUACCAGAAGUGGUUAGUCUAACCGCAAGGAGGACCGUCAGCACGGUAGGAGUCACGACUCGGGU
rnacentral:rRNA from 1 species